rnacentral:lncRNA from 1 species
AUACUGAGGCCUGCACUUUUGCUGGAGCUAUUGGAAAAGAGGUCCCUGGGUAUAAGAGCCACUUAAAUCUGGAGCGGGCUGAGCCCACCUGGUACCAUGAGAAGAAAAUCUGCCAGAUAUUGAAGUCAACACACAAGAAAGCAGAGCCAGGAGAUGGAGACAAGGCAAUAGCAUCCUCAAUAUAUUAAAUUCCAAAGCUGGCUGUUCCUGAAGAGAGACAAACAAGGAACAAAGAAACUCUCCACUGAAAUUUUCAAAUUUCAUUACGGAUAAUGCAAGGAAAAGGAGAAAACGUCAAAGGAACUAUAAUUUCAACACCCUUGUAGAGAAAAUAAUGUAUCUAUGGAGGAAAAUAAGUACAGGGUACUAUGAGGAAAUAAACAUUAGGAGAAUAGAAAAGAGACAUUGGGAAUUAAAAAUAUGAUGGCAAAAUAAGAAAUUCAGUGAAAAGUUUGGAAGACAAAAUUGAGGCAUUUCCUGGAAAGCAGAACAAAAGGCCAAAAAAAAAAAAAAAAAACACAAAGAACACUAAGAAAUAAAAACAGUCAGUUCAAAAUAUUUAAAUCUGAUUAAUAAAUGUUUUAAUUUCAAUUUUAAUUUUUUUGAUACAGUUUUGCUCCUGUCACCCAGGCUGGAGUGCAAUAGCGCAAUCUCAGCUCACCGCAACCUCUGCUUCCUGGGUUCAAGCGAUUCUCCUGCUUCAGCCUCCCAAGUAGCUGAGAUUACAGGCACCUGUCAUUACACCUGGCUAAUUUCUGUAUUUUUUAGUAGAGACAGAGUUUCACGUUUCACCAUGUUGGCCAGUCUGGUCGCAAACUCCUGACAUCAGGUGAUCCACCUCCCUCCACCUCCCAAAGUGCUGGGAUUACAGGCAUGAGCCAUUGCGCACGGCCCCUGAUUAUAAAAGUUUUAAAUAAGGAAAGGCAAUUAUUUAAAAAAUAAGAAAAUGCAGAUGCCCAGGGUUUGCUACUGGAGAGAUCUGAUUCAGAAGGUGUUAAAUUGCAUUUGGACUUUUAUGGCUAAACAAAACAAAUAUUUCAAGAGGGGUGAGGAGAAUGAGCUGACAGAUUCUCAGUAAUGCAGCCAAGGAUGUGAAGAGGCAGGUCCGGAGCUUGCUGGAAGGACCAACUGUGCACACUCACGUUGGCAAGCUCCGGAAUCCCAGCUGAGCCAAGGCCCUGGCUUUACUUUACCUGGGAGAAGAGAUCAGACCUCUACCCUCCGAAAUAGCUGACCAUUCAUCUGGCAAAUAAUGGAACACCCUGACUGAUUUCCUUGUGUUGGCUGUGUUAAAAUAGCUUAAUAAUCUCCAUGCAACAGAACUCCCUUGAGUAAAUGUGAGUUUCAGACCCAUCAGUGUUUGUGGCAAUUAUUCUGAACUGUUUUCCUUUAGCUAACCUGCUCGCAUUUCUAUCCUUCCC